rnacentral:rRNA from 1 species
CGUACCGAUAACCGCAUCAGGUCUCCAAGGUGAGUAGCUUCUGGCCAUUGAGUAAUGGUAAUUUAGGGAAUUCGGCCAAUUAGAGCUGUAACUUCGGGAUAAAGCUUGGCUCUGAUGGAAAUCAGAACCGAUAGUUACAAGGAGAGCCCAACUGUUUAAUAAAAACUUAGUGUCGCGUCAUACCUUUAUAAGUAAUAAACGUGACAUGAAUCCUGCUCAGUGCUGUGUUUGUUAAACUGGAUUAAUCCAUUUAAGCGCCGGUAAAUAGCUGGGGUAACUAUGACUCUUAUCAAAGUAGCGAAAUACCUCGUCACUUAAUUAGUGACCUGCAUGAACGGAGCUAUGAGGUUCUCACUGUCCCAAAUUAUCACUCAGCGAACCAACAGUUGUGGGAACGGGCACAAAUUAUCCAGCGGGGAAAGAAGACCCUGUAGAGCUUCACUUUGGUCUAAUCUUGUAUAGUUUCGUUAGGGGUGCAGUCUAGGUGGGAGAUUUUUAAUCAAAUAUGAGAAACCACUACCCUUUCUGGAAUUAUACUUACUAAAAUUCUUUUCUAAAUUUUAGGAUCGGAUUAGAUAGAAAGUUUGGCUGGGGCGGCACACCUUCGAAAAAGCAGCGAAGGUGUCCUAAGUUAAGCUCAGUAAGGACAGAAAUCUUACGUUGAGGAUAAGGCCAAAAGCUUAAUUUACUGUGCCUUUUUGUACUAGGAUCAGUUUGGAAACAAAGGCCUAACGAUCCCUAAUUAGUCUUAGGUGUGUAAGACUUGGGGUGACAGACAAGUUACCUCCGGGACAACUGGCUUGUGGCUGCUAAGAGAUCAAAUCAACGCAGCUUUUUGAUUCUUCGAUGUCGGCUCUUCCUAUCCUAGUGAUGUACAAGUCACUAAGGGUUGGAUUGUUCACCCGUAUUAGGGAUCGUGAGCUGGGUUUAGACCGUCGUGAGCCAGGUUUGUUUUAUCCUACUGGAUAUAAUUUAGCAUCUUGAUAGUAGUUUGAUUUAGUACGAGAGGAACUGUUGAAUAUGGUCUCUGGUUUGGGAAUUUUAUGAAAAUAAAAGUUCCAAAGCUACGCCGUCUGAGAUAAUGGCUGAAGGCCUCUUAAGCCAGAAACUCAUCUAAAAAUAGAUGCUUUAAACUAUUUA